GGGGAUGUAGCUCAAUGGUUAGAGCUUUCGCCUUUUAAGCGAUAGGAUAAGGGUUCAAAUCCCUUCAGACCCA
rnacentral:tRNA from 2 species